CGCCGGAAGUACUGUAGCAGCGGAGUACUGUACCAGCCGGGAGUACUGUAGCACGUUACUGUAGCUGACCGAAAAGUUGUCCAGGAAAGUCCCCCGAAGUCGGCCGGAAAAGUUGCCGGAGUACUGUAGCAGCGGUACUGUAGCAGCCGGAAGUACUGUAGCACUUUACUGUAGCCGACCGAAAAGUUGUCCAGAAAAGUCCCCCGAAGUCGGCCGGAAAGCGGUCGGAAAAGUUGCCGGAAGUACUGUAGCAGCCGGGGGUACUGUAGCAGCCGGAAGUACUGUAGCUGCAGAGGUUUCUGGGAUUUGAAGGCUACGAUUAUAGGGUUUCAGGGUUAGGGCUCGUGCUGAUAACG
rnacentral:lncRNA from 1 species